UACGUAGGUGGCAAGCGUUGUCCGGAUUUAUUGGGUUUAAAGGGUGCGUAGGCGGCUUAUUAAGUCAGUGGUGAAAUACUCUAGCUCAACUAGAGGGGUGCCAUUGAUACUGAUGAGCUUGAGUACAGAUGAGGUAGGCGGAAUUGACGGUGUAGCGGUGAAAUGCUUAGAUAUCGUCAAGAACACCUAUAGCGAAGGCAGCUUACUAGGCUGUAACUGACGCUGAGGCACGAAAGUGUGGGGAUCAAACAGG
rnacentral:rRNA from 4 species